GCCAAUAUGGCGUAGUGAUUUGAGUGUUGGACUAUGGCUCUAGAGCCCAGGGUUCGAAUCUCUGCUCAGCCA